CACUCUUGGAGACACGAGGAUGGGAACUGGAGACAUUACCGCCUGGACUGCCCUAAUGCUAAGUGCAAGGGCUUUGGCCACUCGCCCUGGAAGGCGGAAUAUGGAGAGCGGCCGACUGACUAAGUGCAGAAAAGUAUCUGGAGCUAAAAGGGCUUGGAGCCCGGCGACAAGGGUUUGAGAGGGGGCACUUAUGCUCCCAUUCAGUGAAAUCAGUGGAUCAAUAUCAGCUCCAUGUGGUCUGGAACUGCAGGAGGAAGAAAGCAACUACUGCAUAAAGAAAAACCCAGAGAAAAUGGAA
rnacentral:lncRNA from 1 species